rnacentral:rRNA from 1 species
CCUACGGGUGGCAGCAGUGGGGGAUUUUGCACAAUGGGGGGAACCCUGAUGCAGCGACGCCGCGUGGGUGAAGAAGCGCUUCGGCGCGUAAAGCUCUGUCAGCAGGGAAGAAAAUGACGGUAACCGAAGAAGAAACCCCGGCCAACUACGUGCCAGCAGCCGCGGUAAUUCGUGGGGGGCAAGCGUUUGCCGGAUUUACUGGGUGUAAAGGGUGCGCAGACGGCGAUGCAAGCCAGGAGUGAAAGCCCGGGGCCCAACCCCGGGACUGCUCUUGGAACUGCGUGGCUGGAGUGCAGGAGGGGCAGGCGGAAUUCCUGGUGUAGCGGUGAAAUGCGUAGAUAUCAGGAGGAACACCGGUGGCGAAGGCGGCCUGCUGGACUGCAACUGACGUUGAGGCCCGAAAGCGUGGGGAGCAAACAGGAUUAGAUACCCGUGUAGUC